GAUAUUCAUACCCUGUGAGGAGUCCGGGGCGAGUAGACACCCCAGGUCUCUAGAGAUCUGUGGUGUCCUGUUUCUCCUGGCUCUCCUCUCUCCCAAGGUUUUCUCAUC
rnacentral:miRNA from 1 species